ACGUGGGUAACCUACCUAUAAGACUGGGAUAACUUCGGGAAACCGGAGCUAAUACCGGAUAAUAUUUCGAACCGCAUGGUUCGAUAGUGAAAGAUGGCUUUGCUAUCACUUAUAGAUGGACCUGCGCCGUAUUAGCUAGUUGGUAAGGUAACGGCUUACCAAGGCAACGAUGCGUAGCCGACCUGAGAGGGUGAUCGGCCACACUGGAACUGAGACACGGUCCAG
rnacentral:rRNA from 1 species